CAAGAAUCCUGAAAGUUGUUAACUGAAGGAAGGAAAGGGGCCCACCCGGAGGAGGAAGGGCAAAAAUCUAUUUAUACACAAAACAGCUUUGCAAGGGGGAGAGGCACCUGAUAUAAAAGUUUUGGGUCACUUGAAGCAUGACAGGAAGAUGGUAAAAUGGAGCCAGAAUCUGAGAAGGCUGGGAAGAGGGGGAAGUACCAGCUGCAGAGGUUUGAAGGGCGCCAUGUCCCUCACCUCUUCAGAGCUUCUUCUCCCUGUUGCUACCGCCAAGAGAAGAGAGUCUUGACAGAUAUUUAUGAAGUACCUACUAUGAGCCAGAUACCACGUGCUGACAAUACAAGGAUCACGGACACUGCAGGCCUCACAGUCUGGAAGAAGGAGGCACAUGAGCAGAGGAAGCCAGCUGCCAUGUCAUGAGGACACUCCAGUGGCCCUAUGGAGGGGUCCUGCAAGUAAGGACCAGAGGCCUCCCUGUCAACCUGCCAGCAGGUGUGAGCCAUCUUGGAAGCAGAUUCUCCAGCCCAGAUCUUCAGAUGACCACAGGCCCAGGUGACCUCCUGACU
rnacentral:lncRNA from 1 species